CAUGCCGCGUGAAGGAUGAAGGCCCUCUGGGUUGUAAACUUCUUUUGUACGGGAAUAAACCCCUCUACGUGUAGAGGGUUGAAUGUACCGUAAGAAUAAGGAUCGGCUAACUUCGUGCCAGCAGCCGCGGUAAUACGAAGGAUCCAAGCGUUAUCCGGAUUUAUUGGGUUUAAAGGGUGCGUAGGCGGGCUAUUAAGUCAGUGGUGAAGGCCCCAAGCUUAACUUGGGAAUUGCCAUUGAUACUGAUGGUCUUGAGUACACUUGAAGUGGGCGGAAUGUGUCAUGUUGCGGUGAAAUGCUUAGAUAUGACACAGAACACCGAUUGCGAAGGCAGCUCACUAAAUUGUAACUGACGCUGAGGCACGAAAGCGUGGGGAUCAAACAGGAUUAGAUACCCUGGUAGUCCACGCCCUAAACGAUGAUUACUCGAUGUGUGCAAUACACCGUACGCGUCUGAGCGAAAGCAUUAAGUAAUCCACCUGGGGAGUACGACCGCAAGGUUGAAACUCAAAGGAAUUGACGGGGGCCCGCACAAGCGGAGGAGCAUGUGGUUUAAUUCGAUGAUACGCGAGGAACCUUACCAGGGCUUGAAAGUUAAGGAAUGAUGUAGAAAUAUGUCAGUCAGCAAUGACCUAAAACUAGGUGCUGCAUGGCUGUCGUCAGCUCGUGCCGUGAGGUGUUGGGUUAAGUCCCGCAACGAGCGCAACCCCUAUCAUUAGUUGCCAACAGGUUAAGCUGGGGACUCUAAUGAGACUGCCCGCAUAAGCGGUGAGGAAGGUGGGGAUGACGUCAAGUCAUCACGGCCCCUUACGUCCUGGGCUACACACGUGCUACAAUGGCCGGUACAGAGGGGCAGCUACUUGGUAACAAGAUGCUAAUCUUUUAAAGCCGGUCUCAGUUCGGAAUUGAGGUCUGCAACUCG
rnacentral:rRNA from 1 species